AUUGAACGUUGGCGGCACGCCUUAUACAUGCAAGUCGAACGAGAAAGCACCUUCGGGUGUGAGUAAAGUGGCGGACGGGUGAGUAACGCGUAGGAACAUACCCAGUAGUGGGGGACAACUCGGGGAAACUCGAGCUAAUACCGCAUACGCUGCUCUUCUUUCGAGGAGCAGGAAAGUGGGGGAUCUUCGGACCUCACGCUAUUGGAGUGGCCUGCGUCGGAUUAGCUUGUUGUGGGGUAAAGGCUCACCAAGGCGACGAUCUGUAGCUGGUCUGAGAGGACGAUCAGCCACACUGGAACUGAGACACGGUCCAGACUCCUACGGGAGGCAGCAGUAGGGAAUCUUGGGCAAUGGGCGCAAGCCUGACCCAGCGAUGCCGCGUGUGUGAAGAAGGCCUUAGGGUUGUAAAGCACUUUCAGCAGCGAAGAAACGCCGGGAGUUAAUACCUCCUCGGUCUUGACGUUAACUGCAGAAGAAGUACCGGCUAACUCCGUG
rnacentral:rRNA from 1 species